rnacentral:lncRNA from 1 species
UUGGUUCAAUUCAGUUAUAAAAGGCAAAAAUCGAACGGUUUAAAAAUUGAGAAAGCAAUUGGUUUGUGUUCGGUUCAGGUGAAAAUCGAACUAAACCGACAAACUGAUCGGUUCUUCUACUUGAAACUAAAAAAUAUUUAAAAAUAUAAAUAUAAAUAAACGAAGAAUUUCUAAACCCUAAAAUCACAUACACACACAACCCCUUCCCCAUCUCUCUCACACCAGUCGACACACACCCUCACCAUCUCUCUCCUCGUCUCACAUCGACACAAACACUCCCCAUCCACCGUCUUCACUUAUCAGCCACCCGUUCGUUGUUUAUCUCACCAUGACGCUGCUAUCAUUGCCACUGUCGUAGUUCAUCCUGUCGCGUUUGUGUCAGCCUCGCCUUGGUUCAUCAUGCUCGUGUCAGCCUCCUCUUUCGUUGUCGCGAUUGUAUCAUUGGCAGCCUGCCAUUGCUAUCGCGUCGGUGUAAUUAUGUAACUUGUGUUGGCUUUUUUUUAUUUAUUCAUUGAUUAUUCCUUAAAAAAUUUCCUUAAUUUGUGAGUUGGGAUUCUUAGAUUGGGAUUAAAUUUGUUGUUGUUUUAUAAAUAAGUUCUCUGAAUGAAUCAAGAAGCUAACAAGCAAUAUUUUCACCAGUAAAAUGGUAUCGUCAUCCAAACCAAACAAAGUCGAACCAUUUCGAACCGAACCAAACUGAAAUUUCAGUUCGGUUGCAAAUUCAGUUUGUAUUCAGUUUCAAUUUUGAAAAAUCGAUCGAUUCCAAUUUGGUUCGGUUCUAAGCUUGAACUGAACCAAAUUGGAUAGUGCUCAGCCCUAGUUUAUAGAUGUGCUUGACUUCGAUAGACUCAACAGAGUUUUUAUCGAUAAAU